rnacentral:rRNA from 1 species
UACAGAGGUGGCAAGCGUUGUUCGGAAUUACUGGGCGUAAAGGGCGCGUAGGCGGCCUUGUAAGUCCUGUGUGAAAUCCCCCGGCUCAACUGGGGAACUGCACAGAAGACUGCUUGGCUUGAGUUCGGGAGAGGGACGCGGAAUUCCCGGUGUAGCGGUGAAAUGCGUAGAUAUCUGGAGGAACACCGGUGGCGAAGGCGGCGUCCUGGACCAACACUGACACUGAUGAGCGAAAGCCAGGGGAGCAAACGGG